CUGCAUGUUUUUGUGCGUUAAUGUUUAUGUUUGCCUGGCAUGUGCACAAGAUCUAAAGGCAGUUUUAGUCAUGUGUGUUAAUGUGAUUCUUCUUUGUCCUUUGUCCUUGCAGAAAAAGACCGUACCAGCACUCCACCACAAGAAGUAAAAAUACUGAGACCUUCAGAACAUGAGUGCAGAAACAGCAAAGACAAAAAAAGGAAGAAGACCCUCGUCUGUGUGGCCUCUGGUUUCUACCCUGACCAUGUCAAAGUGUAUUGGCAAAUGAAUGGGAAAAAUGUCACUGAUGGUGUGGCAACAGAUGAAGCUGCGCGUGAAGGGAAAGAUGACAACAACCAGACCGUGUACAAAAUCACCAGCAGGCUGAGAGUCUAUGCCAAACAAUGGGAAAAUCCUGACAAUAUCUUUAAAUGCGUUGUCAAUUUCUUCAGUGGCACUGUACAUAAAGAUUAUUCAGAUGUUAUUGCCGGAGUUACGGCUGAGACAAAUUCUGUGUCAAGAGAGAAGUAUUUGACAACUACACAAAAUUUCAAGGUCGUCUACAGCGUGCUUACUGUCAAGAGCUGUGCCUAUGGAGCUUUUGUUGGAUUUUUGGUGUGGAAGCUUCAGCGUUUUGGUGGAAAGCAGAAGUACUGAGAGCUGAGCUGAAGCCUCAAAAAGUAACUCUGGGACAUGAGUUACCUUGCUCUCUGUAAAUAUCAUUCAAACAGUCUAUUGUUAAAGUGCACACUGUUAAUCGCCUGUUCAAGUUCUGCUGUGGAUUUUUAUGUGCUUAUUUGUCUUUAUAUAAUUAAUAACUGCCUUUCAAAUAGACUGAUGUCAAUUUUCUUUAGACACAAAGAGAUUUCUGUUUGUAACUUCAUUUUCUUCUUAAUAAAAGUAUGUUAGAUUAUUUUAAA